UCCUGCUCUCUUCCUGGCUGGUCAUUUCUCGGAUCCUUUCCACAACGGCAUCCUCCGUGGGCCCCGUCGUGGAAAGGAAAAGUAUGAAGUAGACGCAGUGUGGU